UACGUAGGGUGCGAGCGUUUGUCCGGAAUUAUUGGGCGUAAAGGGCUCGUAGGCGGUCUGUCACGUCGGGAGUGAAAACACGGGGCUUAACCCCGUGCCUGCUUCCGAUACGGGCAGACUAGAGGUAUGGCAGGGGAGAACGGAAUUCCUGGUGUAGCGGUGAAAUGCGCAGAUAUCAGGAGGAACACCGGUGGCGAAGGCGGUUCUCUGGGCAUUACCUGACGCUGAGGAGCGAAAGUGUGGGGAGCGAACAGG
rnacentral:rRNA from 1 species